rnacentral:piRNA from 1 species
UCUCAUUUCUAGUCUGCACAGGCCUCACACG